rnacentral:rRNA from 1 species
AUUAGACGAAUCAUCUGGAAAGAUGAAUCAAAGAAGGUAAUAAUCCUGUAGUCGAAAAUGUUGUCUCUCUUGAGUGGAUCCUGAGUACGACGGAGCACGUGAAAUUCCGUCGGAAUCUGGGAGGACCAUCUCCUAAGGCUAAAUACUCUCUAGUGACCGAUAGUGAACCAGUACCGUGAGGGAAAGGUGAAAAGCACCCCGGAAGGGGAGUGAAAUAGAACCUGAAACCGUGUGCUUACAAGUAGUCAGAGCCCGUUAAUGGGUGAUGGCGUGCCUUUUGUAGAAUGAACCGGCGAGUUACGAUUUGAUGCAAGGUUAAGCAGUAAAUGUGGAGCCGUAGCGAAAGCGAGUCUGAAUAGGGCGUUUAGUAUUUGGUCGUAGACCCGAAACCAGGUGAUCUACCCUUGGUCAGGUUGAAGUUCAGGUAACACUGAAUGGAGGACCGAACCGACUUACGUUGAAAAGUGAGCGGAUGAACUGAGGGUAGCGGAGAAAUUCCAAUCGAACCUGGAGAUAGCUGGUUCUCUCCGAAAUAGCUUUAGGGCUAGCCUCAAGUGAUGAUUAUUGGAGGUAGAGCACUGUUUGGACGAGGGGCCCCUCUCGGGUUACCGAAUUCAGACAAACUCCGAAUGCCAAUUAAUUUAACUUGGGAGUCAGAACAUGGGUGAUAAGGUCCGUGUUCGAAAGGGAAACAGCCCAGACCACCAGCUAAGGUCCCAAAAUAUAUGUUAAGUGGAAAAGGAUGUGGCGUUGCCCAGACAACUAGGAUGUUGGCUUAGAAGCAGCCAUCAUUUAAAGAGUGCGUAAUAGCUCACUAGUCGAGUGACACUGCGCCGAAAAUGUACCGGGGCUAAACAUAUUACCGAAGCUGUGGAUUGUCCUUUGGACAAUGGUAGGAGAGCGUUCUAAGGGCGUUGAAGCAUGAUCGUAAGGACAUGUGGAGCGCUUAGAAGUGAGAAUGCCGGUGUGAGUAGCGAAAGACGGGUGAGAAUCCCGUCCACCGAUUGACUAAGGUUUCCAGAGGAAGGCUCGUCCGCUCUGGGUUAGUCGGGUCCUAAGCU